rnacentral:rRNA from 1 species
UGCUAUACAUGCAAGUCGAGCGAAUGGAUUAAGAGCUUGCUCUUAUGAAGUUAGCGGCGGACGGGUGAGUAACACGUGGGUAACCUGCCCAUAAGACUGGGAUAACUCCGGGAAACCGGGGCUAAUACCGGAUAACAUUUUGAACCGCAUGGUUCGAAAUUGAAAGGCGGCUUCGGCUGUCACUUAUGGAUGGACCCGCGUCGCAUUAGCUAGUUGGUGAGGUAACGGCUCACCAAGGCAACGAUGCGUAGCCGACCUGAGAGGGUGAUCGGCCACACUGGGACUGAGACACGGCCCAGACUCCUACGGGAGGCAGCAGUAGGGAAUCUUCCGCAAUGGACGAAAGUCUGACGGAGCAACGCCGCGUGAGUGAUGAAGGCUUUCGGGUCGUAAAACUCUGUUGUUAGGGAAGAACAAGUGCUAGUUGAAUAAGCUGGCACCUUGACGGUACCUAACCAGAAAGCCACGGCUAACUACGUGCCAGCAGCCGCGGUAAUACGUAGGUGGCAAGCGUUAUCCGGAAUUAUUGGGCGUAAAGCGCGCGCAGGUGGUUUCUUAAGUCUGAUGUGAAAGCCCACGGCUCAACCGUGGAGGGUCAUUGGAAACUGGGAGACUUGAGUGCAGAAGAGGAAAGUGGAAUUCCAUGUGUAGCGGUGAAAUGCGUAGAGAUAUGG